UAUACUAUGGUGUGUGACGCACAUGGAAUUUUGAUUUCUAAGGGCUUAGUUUGACUCUGAGUAGUAUAG
rnacentral:tRNA from 1 species